UCCAUCGUGGUGUAGUGGUCCAGCAUUUCGGAUUCUCAUUUUCAAAAGCUCUGCCCAGGGCCAGCAAGUGUGAUUUCCGGAGACCCGAGUUCGAUUCUUGGCGAUGGAA